UACGUAGGGGGCGAGCGUUGUCCGGAUUUAUUGGGCGUAAAGAGCGUGUAGGCGGCCAGGUAGGUCUGCUGUGAAAACUCGAGGCUCAACCUCGAGACGUCGGCGGAAACCAUCUGGCUAGAGUCCGGAAGAGGAGAGUGGAAUUCCUGGUGUAGCGGUGAAAUGCGCAGAUAUCAGGAAGAACACCCGUGGCGAAGGCGGCUCUCUGGGACGUAACUGACGCUGAGACGCGAAAGCGUGGGGAGCAAACAGG
rnacentral:rRNA from 1 species